rnacentral:lncRNA from 1 species
CUCACCUGCGGCCGCGCCGCGCGCUCGGAAGGGGGACUGCGGAGGGGACAGCGCGAUGUCCUCGAGGGCGGAAGCCCCCAAGAACUCCCGGCCCGCAGUCCUUCCCAGAGCCGCGGCCACGCAGGCUGUGGACAAAGGCGGCCCGAGGGUGCUGGCACCCCCAGCUCCCAGCCGCCGCGGACGCGCGGGAACCCGCAGCCGGCGGGCGAGUGGGCGGGCAGAUAGCGAGGCCAGCGGCUGGAGCGGCCAGAUAGGCACUGGGCACUGGUGGCGUGAGUGGGCACGGAGUGGGGGCCACGAGCGGGCACACACCCGGCCCCGCAGGCCCCUCUCGGAAGCCCCGGGAGCUCAGGCGGACCGCCCGCACUCCCGUUCCGGCGCUGCCAGCGCAGCCCGGCGCCCACCUUCUCCGCUGAACCGGCGUCUGCACGCAGCUCCCAGAUCCCGGAUCGCCCCCGCCUCCUGCCUGCUUCAGCUCCUUGGUGACGGCGGUGACACCCAGACGCGCGCACCUACCCCGAUCAUAGCGGCGAGACAGACAGACAUCCCGGUCUCAAGCUCUGAGGAUGCUGAUCCAAUGUGGUAUCUGAUUCACUGGGGGCAGGGAGGGACGGCCAGUUUCCCCCAUGCUUCCUGCCUCGGUCUGGAACCUUCUGGCUCAUAAGAGGACACACCAGGAGUCUGUAACCAAGAUUCUCCAGGGCCAGAACCUGGGCUUCUGAAAAUCAUUUUCUUCAGAGAGGCACAAAAGGGAAGUUUGCAGAGGGUUGCAGACAUUCUUCAAACACCCUUACCCCAUCUAAGCCUCCACAUGAUGCCUAAUCUGAAUAAAACCACGGUGUCCCUGGCCUGUGCCCCUUUCCAGUGCCAGUGACUUCUGUCCUGUAGAGCCCCUCGGGGUUACCACUCGUUACAUUACUGAGUGGCACCCCCAGCUCCUCUUGUGCUGCUGUCGCACGCUGGUUAUGUGUAAUGAAGAGAAAUGCAUUUGGCUUACUGUUCUGGGGUCCGGAGAGUCUGAGUUAGAGGGGCUGCAUGUGUCGAGGGUUUCUUGCUGUGUCAUCCAUGACAGGAGGUGUUAUGGUUUGUGUCUAGAUGUCCUUUCAAAGCCUCAUGCGGUCAUGGGGGGUGGGCUUUUCAUAAGUGGCUGAAUCUAGAGUUUGUGAUUGAUUCAUAGUUUGAUGCUGGAUUUAAGGUUAUGAGUGCUAUACCUGCCCCAAGCGGGAAACCUGCAUACAGUUUAAGGGGCAAGAAAGGCUUGUCCCUUCUCCCUUCCCUCACUUGCUUCUGCUGGUUUCUGCCACCAUGAACUGUUGCCCUCUGCUAUGCACCACCCUGCCUUGGAGUCAGCUGAUUAUGGACUGAACCUCUACAAUUGUGAGCUAAAUAAACCUUUCC